rnacentral:rRNA from 1 species
AGUAGCUAGUCUAACCUUCGGGAGGACGGUUACCACGGUGUGAUUCAUGACUGGGGUGAAGUCGUAACAAGGUAGCCGUAGGGGAACCUGCGGCUGGAUCACCUCCUUAA